UGAGAAAAAAAUGAGAGCAGGUGAUAAUUUGCUUCAGACGCCAGGACUUUACACGAGAAUUUGUCCAUGUGCCUGCUAGAGCGGCCAACAGGCUCCAGAUAUUUCUGUUGAUCAGUAUCUCAACUAGAUUGUAGUACAUCAUGUUUUAUAUAGCACUGUCAACGUUGCUUUCCUCCCACCUUUGUUUUUGUCUUCACGUAAUUCCAUGUUGCCUUAAAGCAUGAGCUGUAUCGACUGUGUUCAUUUUAAAUUAAACCUUGCACUUUGUAUAGCUACUCUUACGUUAUUUCCUUGUUAGAUGUUGGCGGCUGAACUUUACACAACUUUUCCCACGGACCUCCUUUCAAAGGGAAGUAAUUCCUGCUGUCAGUGAACACGGGCUCACUGCAAGGCGCUCCUUACUCAAUGCGGAAGCCCCCUUGGGUUUGUCUUUUGUUGCUAAAAAGAAGUCAAGGGCGUCAAGUUGUUGCAUACGAGCAAGGAAUUCAUUUCCUUCUGCGAGUCUUAAACUCUUUGGGUGAGACGCGCAGCAUUUUUGGCUUCCCGGAAGGUUCAAGGUUGGAGCAUCAGCACUUCUCUUUGCGUGUCUUUUGCCUCAAAAGGCGUAAACCUUGGAACCUUGGGUGACCAAAUAUUUUUUCUUCUUAUGACAAUUCAAGGUUGCCGAACUUGUUUUAAAGGUCUUCAACAUAUUUAUCUAAAGGCUCACUCGCUCCUGGCCUUCUUUUCCUGCUGAUAACAUCUGCCGCAUACACCAUACUCUAUUUUUACCAGACAAACGAGGCUGAAGGAAUCAAAAUUUCCUUUGUCACUUCUGGACGUAAAAAUGAUUCGAGCUGUCCAGCUAAGUGUAACGCUAUCCUAUCCAUUCUUAAUUUCUCGCGUACAUAAUUUCGUGAUUUCCGCAAACAAUACUUCGCGAAAUAGAGCAUUACGUUUCGCGAAACUGACGUCAACCGACAAAGGUUGUACAUGUAUUUUUCGCUUUUGCGCGCGCCCAAUUCGCUCGCUAGCUCAAUGAAAAAAUAAAGCGCAGCUAAACAAACGUCCGUGGACAGACUAGUCUUGAAAAAGUUAAUCCGUAAAUUUCCGAGAAACGCUUAAGAAGCGCA